rnacentral:ncRNA from 1 species
GAAAGCCGUAUGAGGGAAAACCUCACGUACGGUUUGACGAGAAGAUACUGGAAAUAGGGUAUGGUUGUGAUCAUGUGACACUCUCAGAGGAAACGGAGAGAAACGGGGAACACAAACCUUUGCAAGGAUUUUGAGACAGCGCAAAAAGUAUGACUAUUUUUAGUUACAAUACAAUAAUUCUUACUUAUC